GACGAACGCUGGCGGCGUGCUUAACACAUGCAAGUCGAACGGAAAGGCCCUGCUUGCAGGGUAAUCGAGUGGCGAACGGGUGAGUAACACGUGGGUGAUCUGCCCUGCACUUCGGGAUAAGCCUGGGAAACUGGGUCUAAUACCGGAUAUGACCUUCCAUGUAGUGUGGGGGGUGGAAAGAUUUAUCGGUGUGGGAUGAGCCCGCGGCCUAUCAGCUUGUUGGUGGGGUAAUGGCCUACCAAGGCGUCGACGGGUAGCCGGCCUGAGAGGGUGGACGGCCACAUUGGGACUGAGAUACGGCCCAGACUCCUACGGGAGGCAGCAGUGGGGAAUAUUGCACAAUGGGCGGAAGCCUGAUGCAGCGACGCCGCGUGGGGGAUGACGGCCUUCGGGUUGUAAACCUCUUUCGACAGGGACGAAGCUUCGGUGACGGUACCUGUAUAAGAAGCACCGGCUAACUACGUG
rnacentral:rRNA from 1 species